rnacentral:rRNA from 1 species
GUAGCAUAAUCAUUUGUCUUUUAAUUGAAGACUAGAACAAAAGAUUUAACAUUUCAAUUAAUAUAUUAAUUUUUUAAAAUAAAAUUUAUUUUAAAUGUAAAAAAACAUUUAUUUUUUAGAAAGACGACAAGACCCUAUUGAACUUAACUUCAGUUAAACUGGGGCAGUAAAUUAAUUAUAAUUUUAAUUAAAAUAAAACAAUAAGAAUCCAAUAAAAUUGAACAAUCAAGUUACCAUAGGGAUAACAGCAUAAUAUUUAUUCAAAGCUCUUAUAUAAAUAAAAGAUUAUGACCUCGAUGUUGAAUUAAUUACCUAUUAAAUUACGCAAUAGUUAAGUAAGGAAGUC